AUCCCGACCCGCUGAGAGGCCAGAAUUGGAGCAUCCGACUCGGUUUUGUGCGCGACAUCUUGAUCUCCACAUCGGUGUGUGUGGCUUGC
rnacentral:tRNA from 1 species